UACGAAGGGGGCUAGCGUUGCUCGGAAUCACUGGGCGUAAAGCGCACGUAGGCGGCUUUUUUAAGUCAGGGGGUGAAAUCCUGGAGCUCAACUCCAGAACUGCCUUUGAUACUGGGGAGCUCGAGUCCGGAAGAGGUGAGUGGAACUCCGAGUGUAGAGGUGAAAUUCGUAGAUAUUCGGAAGAACACCAGUGGCGAAGGCGGCUCACUGGUCCGGUACUGACGCUGAGGUGCGAAAGCGUGGGGAGCAAACAGG
rnacentral:rRNA from 1 species